rnacentral:lncRNA from 1 species
GAGACGAUAUUAAGAAUUGAACGAUGGACAGUCAGUGCGUGAAUGCUUCUUACUACCUGAUUGGAAGAUAUUACGAGACGUGAAUAAUCAAAGUUUAUUAAUUGGUUAGGACAAUCCAAACCUAGUAAAUGUCCUUCAAUCCCGUAGAGUAUCGGAUUUGUCCUCUUUAUUUUAGCAAUUAGAUUUUGCCUGGUCAUUAAUCAUGCAUAUUCAUGAAAUUGGUAUACAGAUAACUUUUAUCUAUAAAUAGCCGAAUCUUCUGGAGUUUCGUAAACAACAACGUUAAACG